UACGUAGGUGGCAAGCGUUAUCCGGAAUUACUGGGCGUAAAGCGCACGCAGGUGGCUAUCUAAGAUUGACGUGAAAGCUUCUGGCUUAACUGGAAGAGGUCGUUGAUGACUGGAUGGCUUGAGACGAGGAGAGGGGUGCAGAAUUCCCGGGGUAGUGGCGGAAUGCGUAGAUAUCGGGAGGAAUACAAGUGGCGAAUGCGGCACCCUGGCCUUAGUCUGACGCUCAGGUGCGAAAGCGUGGGGUGCAAACGGG
rnacentral:rRNA from 1 species